rnacentral:misc_RNA from 1 species
GAUGAAGAACGUAGCGAAAUGCGAUAAGUAAUGCGAAUUGCAGAAUUCAGUGAAUCAUCGAAUCUUUGAACGCACAUUGCGCCCGCCAGUAUUCUGGCGGGCAUGCCUGUCUGAGCGUCAUUUCAACCCUCAUGCCCCUAGGGCGUGGUGUUGGGGAUCGGCCAAAGCCCGCGAGGGACGGCCGGCCCCUAAAUCUAGUGGCGGACCCGUCGUGGCCUCCUCUGCGAAGUAGUGAUAUUCCGCAUCGGAGAGCGACGAGCCCCUGCCGUUAAACCCCCAACUUUCCAAGGUUGACCUCAGAUCAGGUAGGAAUACCCGCUGAACUUAAGCAUAUCAAUAAGCGGAGGA